AUGAACGCUAGCGACAGGCUUAACACAUGCAAGUCGAGGGGCAGCACAGGUAGCAAUACCGGGUGGCGACCGGCGCACGGGUGAGUAACGCGUAUGCAACUUACCUAUCAGAGGGGGAUAACCCGGCGAAAGUCGGACUAAUACCGCAUGAAGCAGGGGUCCCGCAUGGGGAUAUUUGCUAAAGAUUCAUCGCUGAUAGAUAGGCAUGCGUUCCAUUAGGCAGUUGGCGGGGUAACGGCCCACCAAACCGACGAUGGAUAGGGGUUCUGAGAGGAAGGUCCCCCACAUUGGUACUGAGACACGGACCAAACUCCUACGGGAGGCAGCAGUGAGGAAUAUUGGUCAAUGGCCGAGAGGCUGAACCAGCCAAGUCGCGUGAGGGAUGAAGGUUCUAUGGAUCGUAAACCUCUUUUAUAAGGGAAUAAAGUGCGGGACGUGUCCCGUUUUGGAUGGACCUUAUGAAUAAGGAUCGGCGAACUCCGU
rnacentral:rRNA from 1 species